AUUUCUCUAGUAUUAACAAGUACAGUUGACUUCCAAUCAACUAGUUCUGGUAAAACCCAGAGAGAAAUA
rnacentral:tRNA from 1 species